CUGGAGGUAUCAGAAGUGCGAAUGCUGACAUAAGUAACGAUAAAGCGGGUGAAAAGCCCGCUCGCCGGAAGACCAAGGGUUCCUGUCCAACGUUAAUCGGGGCAGGGUGAGUCGACCCCUAAGGCGAGGCCGAAAGGCGUAGUCGAUGGGAAACAGGUUAAUAUUCCUGUACUUGGUGUUACUGCGAAGGGGGGACGGAGAAGGCUAUGUUGGCCGGGCGACGGUUGUCCCGGUUUAAGCGUGUAGGCUGGUUUUCCAGGCAAAUCCGGAAAAUCAAGGCUGAGGCGUGAUGACGAGGCACUACGGUGCUGAAGCAACAAAUGCCCUGCUUCCAGGAAAAGCCUCUAAGCAUCAGGUAACAUCAAAUCGUACCCCAAACCGACACAGGUGGUCAGGUAGAGAAUACCAAGGCGCUUGAGAGAACUCGGGUGAAGGAACUAGGCAAAAUGGUGCCGUAACUUCGGGAGAAGGCACGCUGAUACGUAGGUGAAGUCCCUCGCGGAUGGAGCUGAAAUCAGUCGAAGAUACCAGCUGGCUGCAACUGUUUAUUAAAAACACAGCACUGUGCAAACACGAAAGUGGACGUAUACGGUGUGACGCCUGCCCGGUGCCGGA
rnacentral:rRNA from 1 species